GCAAGUCGAACGCAGUAGCAAUACUGAGUGGCAGACGGGUGAGUAACAUGUGGGAAUCUGCCUUGUGGUUCAGGACAACAUUGGGAAACCGAUGCUAAUACUGGAUAAGCCCUUACGGGGAAAGUUUUAAUGCCAUAAGAUGAGCCCGCAUUUGAUUAGUUAGUUGGUGAGGUAAUGGCUCACCAAGACAAUGAUCAAUAGCUGAUCUGAGAGGAUGAUCAGCCACACUGGGACUGAGACACGGCCCAGACUCCUACGGGAGGCAGCAGUGGGGAAUCUUGCACAAUGGAGGAAACUCUGAUGCAGCGAUGCCGCGUGAGUGAAGAAGGCCUUUGGGUUGUAAAGCUCUUUUGUAGGGGAAGAUAAUGACUGUACCCUAAGAAUAAGGUCCGGCUAACUUCGUGCCAGCAGCCGCGGUAAUACGAAGGGACCUAGCGUAGUUCGGAAUUACUGGGCGUAAAGCGCGCGUAGGCCGUUGAGUUAGUUAAUUGUGAAAUCCCAAAGCUUAACUUUGGAACUGCAAUUAAAACUGCUCGACUAGAGUUUGAUAGAGGAAAGCGGAAUACAUAGUGUAGAGGUGAAAUUCGUAGAUAUUAUGUAGAACACCAGUUGCGAAGGCGGCUUUCUGGAUCAACACUGACGCUGAGGCGCGAAAGUAUGGGUAGCAAAGAGGAUUAGAUACCCUCGUAGUCCAUACCAUAAACGAUGAUUGCUAGAUGUUGGAAAUUUAUUUUCAGUAUCGCAGCUAACGCAUUAAGCAAUCCGCCUGGGGAGUACGACCGCAAGGUUAAAACUCAAAUGAAUUGACGGGGACCCGCACAAGCGGUGGAGCAUGUGGUUUAAUUCGAAGAUACGCGCAGAACCUUACCAACCCUUGACAUGUCUGUCGCGAGUUUAGGAAACUAGACUUUUCGGUUCGGCCGGACAGAACACAGGUGCUGCAUGGCUGUCGUCAGCUCGUGUCGUG
rnacentral:rRNA from 1 species